rnacentral:rRNA from 1 species
GAGCGAACGCUGGCGGCAGGCCUAACACAUGCAAGUCGAACGAACCUUUCGGGGUUAGUGGCGGACGGGUGAGUAACACGUGGGAACGUGCCUUUAGGUUCGGAAUAACUCAGGGAAACUUGUGCUAAUACCGAAUGUGCCCUUCGGGGGAAAGAUUUAUCGCCUUUAGAGCGGCCCGCGUCUGAUUAGCUAGUUGGUUGAGGUAAUGGCUCUCCAAGGCGACGAUCAGUAGCUGGUCUGAGAGGAUGAUCAGCCACAUUGGGACUGAGACACGGCCCAAACUCCUACGGGAGGCAGCAGUGGGGAAUCUUGCGCAAUGGGCGAAAGCCUGACGCAGCCAUGCCGCGUGAAUGAUGAAGGUCUUAGGAUUGUAAAAUUCUUUCACCGGGGACGAUAAUGACGGUACCCGGAGAAGAAGCCCCGGCUAACUUCGUG